CCUACGGGCGGCUGCAGUGGGGAAUAUUGGGCAAUGGGCGCAAGCCUGACCCAGCUAUUCCGCGUGUGGGAAGACGGCUUUCGGGUUGUAAACUUCUUUUGUCGGGAACGAGUAGAAGACGGUACCUGACGAAUAAGCCCCGGCUAACUACGUGCCAGCAGCCGUGGUAAUACGGAGGGGGCAAGCGUGUUCCGGAUUUACUGGGUGGAAAGGGCGGGAAGGCGGGUUGACAAGAUAGAUGUGAAAGCCUGCGGCUUAACCGGGGAACGGCAUUCGAAACUGUUGGUCUUGAGGACGGGAGAGGGAGAUGGAAUUCCUAGUGUAGCAGUGAAAUGCGUAGAUAUUUGGAGGAACACCAGUGGCGAAGGCAGUCCCCUGGGACGCAACUGACGGUGAGACGCGAAAGCGUGGGGAGCAAACAGGAUUAGAUACCCGUGUAGUC
rnacentral:rRNA from 1 species